rnacentral:lncRNA from 1 species
UUUUCCAUGCAAAACCCAUUGAGUGUGUUUAGGAGAAAUCCAUGACCAAAAAAGUGAUCCUCCACCAUAUCUCGAUAAUGCCAAUACGAUUAAAGCACAAUCUACAAAGACAUAAUAUUUUAUUUCCUAGAGAAGCUCAUUCAAAUGCCUUAUUGAGAAAAUCCUUGACUCUAUUUUCGUACACAUCCGUGGAUCUUGGGAGAUA